rnacentral:lncRNA from 1 species
CUGCCUGAGAGAAAGGAGGUCCAGUGACCGGCACAAUUUGGGAUACAUCGCAAGGGGCUCCAAGACCUGACACUAUUACUAAUGCUGUUGUGUGCUUACAGACAGGAGCCGUCCUCUGAGAGUCACAACAAGCAGCUGACCAAGACAGAAGCAGAAACUUUCACUCAUCCAAUGGAGAGAAGCUGGGGACCCCUGUGUUUCAAUUAGUGAAAGGCUAGAAGAAUGUGUGGAGGAAGGUGAUUUCACUGAAAAAAACCUGCAAUCUCAACUAACCUGGACCCCUGCAAUCUCUCAGAUUCUGAACCACCAUCCAAGCAGCAUGCACUAAAAGGUAUGAGGCC